rnacentral:lncRNA from 1 species
UGUCUCACUAGUUAUGAAUCCCAUGUUUAUCCACUAAAGAUAUCUCAGAGUUUCAGAAUUAGCUAGGGGUAAUUUUCAUAAUAUGGCUAUUUUUUAUUAUGAGACAGGGCAAAGCUAGCCUUGAACUUCACAUGUAGACAAGUCUGUCCUGUUUGUAAUACUCUUGCCUCUGCUUCUGAGCUGCUGGAAUCACAUUUGAAACCGUGGGACCAGCUAAAUAUUUUACUUAGCAAUGUGCCAAAAGUACCUCUUUCUAAAAUUUUUGAUUUCUUAAUUAUUCUUGCCAAUAUGAAAAAUUACAUUGAAAAUUGACUUCAGAUAUGAGAAUUUCGGUAUGGUAUAAAUAUUAAUAAAGGUUGUCAUCAUUAGGACAAGACCUUACUGCAGACUAGUUCUAAGAGACACUAGAUAUACUGGGUUUAAAUGAAGACUUAAGAAGAGGCUGUUUGCUGGAAUGUUAAUUAAAACAAAUCUUUAAAAUCAGCAAAGUGUAAGAGAAGUCAUAGGUGGCCAGGGAAUCCACUGAGCUAAUAAAGCCCUAUAUAGUAAUAAGGAAUUAUCUUAAGUUGAUUCACCAAAUUUCCUACUACUGCUGUCUAAAAGUUUUAUCAAUAAGUUUAUUACUGCUGUUUUUAUUACUGUGUCCCCCCUCCCACCCCUGCUGUUCCAUUGCUCCCUACAAUGGAGAGCAAGCUAGAUAUAGCCUUUCUUUCAGUUUUGCUCUUCCCAGAGUUCCUAUUGGAACAUAGUUCUUUUUGGCCUGGUCUUUAAUAGAGCAGGGUAGCCUUAGUGAAUAUGUACCGUUUGGUUGUUUUUUUUUUUUUUUUUUUUUAAGUACAAAUUAAGUUUUAGUAGUAGCUUUUUAGCUAAAAAAAAAAAAAAGUUUAUUCUUUAAGUUUCCAUGUGAGUGCUUGUAGAUAAAACAUUACAAGUAAAAGUAUGCAUGUAUUUAAUCAGGUGAUUAUUUAGAGUGUGUUUUGGUAGAAUCAAGUUGUAUGUUGAGAAUAGUUGCAUGUUAGGUUUAUUAUAUGUAUUAUUUUUAUUUUCGUAAGUUAUUUUAGGAGAUUAUAUAGUAGACUAUAGGGUAAUUCAGGUUUUUUGUGUUAUGUCAUGAAACAAGAGUUUGAUGACUGCAGUCGUGAAUCGCUGCUAUAGUGAGUCCCCUUACCUUUUCCUCAGAAUACUGUAGUAAGAUAUUUUUUUCUCUUUUUAUUAUUUAGAUUUUUAUUUCUGUUUUUGGAAGUGAUAUUACUAUUCCUAAUAUAAUUUUAUUAUAGUAGUUAUAAAGUCUGUUUUUUUCCAACCAGUGAUUAAUUUUAAGUUGCCUACUUCAAGAUUAGGAGAGACACAGAUGACUUGGGCAGUCCCCAAUUGCCAAAGUUUAAAUGUUUUCUAAUUAGAUGACUGUAGUUAAACAACAUAGAAUGUUUUCCUGGAAAACAUUCAGAAUGAUGGGACCAUGUUCUCCUGGUUUAAAUCUUGUACUUUCAUUAUAGAUAAUUAUCUGGAUCUAAGUAAUAACAUUAGUAGCCUUUUAGAAAUUACUUGUAAAUAGCCUUGUAAACUGAGCAGCUAACCAUAGUUACAGCUUCCUAGAAAGGAGUUGUGCUGUUUCACCUGUGAUAAAUGUAAACAUUACAGCAGGUGGCAUAUAAAUAUAUGGUAUGCUGUUCUUUCAACAUUGUGGUUUUUUAUGCUGAUAGUUAAACUAUGUAAACAGUGUGCCAAAUCAGUCUUUUUGCCAGAAAUGGGGAUUAUAGCGAUAGAGCCAGGUUGUUGUGAUGGCUGAGCAAUCCACAUUCUAAGCCUAGCAUUGAUAGCUUUUAAUGAAAUCCUCAUUGGUAACCUUUUUACCUUUUUUUUUUUUUUUUGCCCAUUUUGGCCUUAUUGUUUACAAGAGCUGCCAAUAAUUGCUAAGUUUUUUCUUCUUUUUCAUACUUUUCCUUUAAAAGAAACAACUGAUUAUAGACAUUAACUUGAAGAGAUGGUAAUUGGUCAUCUAGAAAUAUGAUCAUCUUAUGAAGUAAGGAGGUUAGGUCGGAGAGGAAGAUGGGCAUCAGAGAAACUUGUUAUGGAUUUUUGCCUUUGACCUGGCAGGACUAGCCAUUUGGACAAGAAACUUCCCUUUCCUUGACAGCUUGAUAGCAUGCUGUCCAAACUGAACUAGCAUGUUACAAAGAAGAGUGACUGCAGAAGUUGCCAAGGAAGAGGAUGAUCCUUCAUGUUCCUACUUCAUCAGAAAGUCUGCCAGACAUUCUGUGCAUAUAGGCUGAAGAGGGAUGCCCCCAACCUGACAGAGGAACUUUGGGUGACAUUCUUCGAAGAGAGAGACUCUUUCUGGAGUCCUUGGUGGUGUUGAAGACUGAUAAAUAUGGUUAUGUAUUUCCUUAGUGAUAAUAAAAGAUAAGUUGCAUAUAAAGCUUCAAACUAACAAAGAUAGGAUAGAUGAUGGAAUAUUUUCUUAAAUUCUAUCAAAUGUUAAUGGAUUACAUGUUGGUAUUUAUAGUUUUUCCUUAUAAACUUUUGCAAUACAUAAUUGGACUAUAUGAAAUUUAAACUUCUUUGUUUUUCCAAACAGAAAAGAUGAGAUGAUGAGGGAUGCCCUUCUAUAUUUGUGUGAAUAUAUGUUUCUCUUCUUAGUUGAUGAAUAAAGCUGUGUUAGACAAUGGCCACUCAGGAUAUAGCAAGGGACGACAUAUAGUCAGUGCCAUGAGAGUAGGAGGUUUUUGAUAGAGAACACAGAGAGUGAGUCUUCAGACAGUUGCCAUGUAGUUUCUGCUGGGAGGAUAGCUGCCUGGUCAUUCUCUGGUAAGCCAAAACCACCUAGACAUUCACUGAUUAAUAGAAAUGGGUUAGUAGUUAGAGAGAACUAGCCAAUAAGUAUCCUGAGCCAAAGGACACAUAGCUUAUAAAAUAUAAGUCUCUGUGUGUAUCUGAAUUGUGGACGGAUUAGGCUGAACACUAACUUGUGCUUACACAUUGCUGUUAAUGGAACAUUUACUGAGUUGCUUUGUUUUGUGUACAGGGAUAGUAGAGUCCCUGUUCUAACAGUUCACAUGGUCAGCAAUGUGUUCCUGAGAAACAAUGCUGACCCCAAUAUUCCCUUUCUAAAUGUCAUAUGCAAACUUGUAUUGAGUUUUUUUUGCAUCCUGCGCCCAUUUGUAGUUUGUUAGUAAUAAAACAAUGUAAAAGAAUUUCUACAUGAUCAUCCUUUGCUUUUCAUAAAUUUGGGGGUCAAAUACCAACAAAUGUGGCUGAAGAAAUGUUCCUUUUAUUUUGGUCAAAUUACUGUGUAUGAUGUGACUUCUUUAAUUUUUAGUACCAAAAAUCUUAUGUAUUACACGUAGCUGUUAAAGUCUAUAGAUAAUUAAAAUGUAACUCAGAAAUAAAAAAUUAGUAUUUGAGUUUGCUAUUUGGAAAAGGUAUUGUCCUAUUGUAUCAAUUUCCUGUUACCUUGUGAAGGCAAAUAUUCUAAAUGUCUAAACUAUUCAAAUUGUUGUGCCUCCUUACCCAAAGGACAUGGAAACUUGUGAUCACAUAUUAACAAUAUAUAAACUCAUAAGUUUUGCCUUAUCCAUUGUGCAUUGUUUUAUUUGACUCAAAAAAUCUUAGAGAAAUUCAUAAAACAAGUAAUAAAUUAUGUGAGCAUAGAUUUGCAAAAAUGAGUAGUUUUGUUGGUACCAAGAAUACAAUCAGAUAAGGAACUGUGUGUGUGUG